rnacentral:rRNA from 1 species
UACGUAGGGUGCAAGCGUUGUCCGGAAUUAUUGGGCGUAAAGAGCUCGUAGGCGGUUUGUCACGUCUGCUGUGAAAACUGGAGGCUCAACCCCCAGCCUGCAGUGGGUACGGGCAGACUAGAGUGCGGUAGGGGAGAUUGGAAUUCCUGGUGUAGCGGUGGAAUGCGCAGAUAUCAGGAGGAACACCGAUGGCGAAGGCAGAUCUCUGGGCCGUAACUGACGCUGAGGAGCGAAAGCAUGGGGAGCGAACAGG